rnacentral:rRNA from 1 species
UUGGUCCUACGGGGCGCAGCAGUGAGGAAUAUUGGUCAAUGGCCGGAAGGCUGAACCAGCCAUGCCGCGUGAAGGUCAGUGCCCUAUGGGCGUUAAACUUCUUUUGUGCGGGAGCAAUAAUGGUCACGUGUGGCCAGACGAGAGUACCGUACGAAUAAGCAUCGGCUAACUCCGUGCCAGCAGCCGCGGUAAUACGGAGGAUGCGAGCGUUAUCCGGAUUUAUUGGGUUUAAAGGGUGCGUAGGCGGACUGUUAAGUCAGCGGUAAAAGCCCGGGGCUCAACCCCGGCGAGCCGUUGAAACUGGC